rnacentral:rRNA from 1 species
GGACUACUAGGGUAUCUAAUCCUGUUUGCUCCCCACGCUUUCGUAGUUGAGUGUCAGUACCUGUCCAGGUCGCCGCCUUCGCCUCUGGUGUUCCUCCCGAUCUCUACGCAUUUCACCGCUACACCGGGAAUUCCACGACCCUCUCCAGGACUCCAGUCUCACCGUUUCUCGCGCACUUCUUGAGUUAAGCCCAAGGCUUUCACACGAGACAAAUGAGACCACCUACCUACCCUUUACGCCCAAUAAUUCCGAGCAACGCUUGCACCCUCUGUAUUACCGCGGCGGCUGGCAC